rnacentral:tRNA from 1 species
GGUGGCUCAGUGGCAGAGCACUUGCCUCACAUGCAUGAGGCCCUGGGUUCGAUUCCUCAGCACCA